rnacentral:ncRNA from 1 species
AGUAAAAAAUUUAUAAGAAUAUGAUGUUGGUUCAGAUUAAGCGCUAAAUAAGGACAUGACACAUGCGAAUCAUACGUUUAUUAUUGAUAAGAUAAUAAAUAUGUGGUGUAAACGUGAGUAAUUUUAUUAGGAAUUAAUGAACUAUAGAAUAAGCUAAAUACUUAAUAUAUUAUUAUAUAAAAAUAAUUUAUAUAAUAAAAAGGAUAUAUAUAUAAUAUAUAUUUAUCUAUAGUCAAGCCAAUAAUGGUUUAGGUAGUAGGUUUAUUAAGAGUUAAACCUAGCCAACGAUCCAUAAUCGAUAAUGAAAGUUAGAACGAUCACGUUGACUCUGAAAUAUAGUCAAUAUCUAUAAGAUACAGCAGUGAGGAAUAUUGGACAAUGAUCGAAAGAUUGAUCCAGUUACUUAUUAGGAUGAUAUAUAAAAAUAUUUUAUUUUAUUUAUAAAUAUUAAAUAUUUAUAAUAAUAAUAAUAAUAAUAUAUAUAUAUAAAUUGAUUAAAAAUAAAAUCCAUAAAUAAUUAAAAUAAUGAUAUUAAUUACCAUAUAUAUUUUUAUAUGGAUAUAUAUAUUAAUAAUAAUAUUAAUUUUAUUAUUAUUAAUAAUAUAUUUUAAUAGUCCUGACUAAUAUUUGUGCCAGCAGUCGCGGUAACACAAAGAGGGCGAGCGUUAAUCAUAAUGGUUUAAAGGAUCCGUAGAAUGAAUUAUAUAUUAUAAUUUAGAGUUAAUAAAAUAUAAUUAAAGAAUUAUAAUAGUAAAGAUGAAAUAAUAAUAAUAAUUAUAAGACUAAUAUAUGUGAAAAUAUUAAUUAAAUAUUAACUGACAUUGAGGGAUUAAAACUAGAGUAGCGAAACGGAUUCGAUACCCGUGUAGUUCUAGUAGUAAACUAUGAAUACAAUUAUUUAUAAUAUAUAUUAUAUAUAAAUAAUAAAUGAAAAUGAAAGUAUUCCACCUGAAGAGUACGUUAGCAAUAAUGAAACUCAAAACAAUAGACGGUUACAGACUUAAGCAGUGGAGCAUGUUAUUUAAUUCGAUAAUCCACGACUAACCUUACCAUAUUUUGAAUAUUAUAAUAAUUAUUAUAAUUAUUAUAUUACAGGCGUUACAUUGUUGUCUUUAGUUCGUGCUGCAAAGUUUUAGAUUAAGUUCAUAAACGAACAAAACUCCAUAUAUAUAAUUUUAAUUAUAUAUAAUUUUAUAUUAUUUAUUAAUAUAAAGAAAGGAAUUAAGACAAAUCAUAAUGAUCCUUAUAAUAUGGGUAAUAGACGUGCUAUAAUAAAAUGAUAAUAAAAUUAUAUAAAAUAUAUUUAAUUAUAUUUAAUUAAUAAUAUAAAACAUUUUAAUUUUUAAUAUAUUUUUUUAUUAUAUAUUAAUAUGAAUUAUAAUCUGAAAUUCGAUUAUAUGAAAAAAGAAUUGCUAGUAAUACGUAAAUUAGUAUGUUACGGUGAAUAUUCUAACUGUUUCGCACUAAUCACUCAUCACGCGUUGAAACAUAUUAUUAUCUUAUUAUUUAUAUAAUAUUUUUUAAUAAAUAUUAAUAAUUAUUAAUUUAUAUUUAUUUAUAUCAGAAAUAAUAUGAAUUAAUGCGAAGUUGAAAUACAGUUACCGUAGGGGAACCUGCGGUGGGCUUAUAAAUAUCUUAAAUAUUCUUACA